UACGUAGGGGGCAAGCGUUGUCCGGAUUUAUUGGGCGUAAAGAGCGUGUAGGCGGCUUGGUAGGUCCGCUGUGAAAACUCGAGGCUCAACCUCGAGAUGUCGGCGGAAACCACUUGGCUAGAGUCCGGAAGAGGAGAGUGGAAUUCCCGGUGUAGCGGUGAAAUGCGCAGAUAUCAGGAAGAACACCGGUGGCGAAGGCGGAUCUCUGGGCCAUUACUGACGCUGAGGAGCGAAAGCGUGGGGAGCGAACAGG
rnacentral:rRNA from 1 species